rnacentral:rRNA from 1 species
ACUCAAAGGAAUUGACGGGGGCCCGCACAAGCGGUGGAGUAUGUGGCUUAAUUCGAUGCAACGCGAAGAACCUUACCUGGCCUUGACAUGCACUAGACCGACGCUGAAAGGCGUCUUUCCUUCGGGACUGGUGCACAGGUGCUGCAUGGCUGUCGUCAGCUCGUGUCGUGAGAUGUUGCGUUAAGUCGCGCAACGAGCGCAACCCCUGUCCUUAGUUGCCAUCAUUAAGUUGGGCACUCUAAGGAGACAAACCCUCUCUGAGGGUGGGAAGGUGGGGAUGACGUCAAGUCAGGAUGGCCCUUACGGCCAGGGCUGCACACGUACUACAAUGCUCGGUACAGAGGGAAGCAACACCGCGAGGUGAAGCGAAUCUCAAAAACCGAGCCCAGUUCAGAUUGUAGUCUGCAACUCGACUACAUGAAGUUGGAAUCGCUAGUAAUGGCGCAUCAGCUACGGCGCCGUGAAUACGUUCCCGGGCCUUGUACACACCGCCCGU